AGAGUUUGAUCCUGGCUCAGAGCGAACGCUGGCGGCAGGCUUAACACAUGCAAGUCGAACGGGCAUAGCAAUAUGUCAGUGGCAGACGGGUGAGUAACGCGUGGGAACAUACCUCUUGGUUCGGAACAACACAGGGAAACUUGUGCUAAUACCGGAUAAGCCCUUACGGGGAAAGAUUUAUCGCCGAGAGAUUGGCCCGCGUCUGAUUAGCUAGUUGGUGUGGUAAAAGCGCACCAAGGCGACGAUCAGUAGCUGGUCUGAGAGGAUGAUCAGCCACAUUGGGACUGAGACACGGCCCAAACUCCUACGGGAGGCAGCAGUGGGGAAUCUUGCGCAAUGGGCGAAAGCCUGACGCAGCCAUGCCGCGUGAAUGAUGAAGGUCUUAGGAUUGUAAAAUUCUUUCACCGGGGACGAUAAUGACGGUACCCGGAGAAGAAGCCCCGGCUAACUUCGUGCCAGCAGCCGCGGUAAUACGAAGGGGGCUAGCGUUGCUCGGAAUUACUGGGCGUAAAGGGAGCGUAGGCGGACUGUUUAGUCAGAGGUGAAAGCCCAGGGCUCAACCUUGGAAUUGCCUUUGAUACUGGCAGUCUUGAGUACGGAAGAGGUAUGUGGAACUCCGAGUGUAGAGGUGAAAUUCGUAGAUAUUCGGAAGAACACCAGUGGCGAAGGCGACAUACUGGUCCGUUACUGACGCUGAGGCUCGAAAGCGUGGGGAGCAAACAGGAUUAGAUACCCUGGUAGUCCACGCCGUAAACGAUGAGUGCUAGUUGUCGGCAUGCAUGCAUGUCGGUGACGCAGCUAACGCAUUAAGCACUCCGCCUGGGGGAGUACGGUC
rnacentral:rRNA from 1 species